UCACGGAACCCUGGCAGUGGCAGUCUGCACCGGCUCCCAGGAGGGGCGGUGUGGAGAGUGACCUGUGCUCGCACACAGGCUUCUCAGUGGCGGCAGCAGCAGCCUUAGCGUCUCAUGCCCGUCUCUGGGGUCCACGCUGAUGGCCGCGGCUCGUGCCCGUCUCUGGAGCUCGUUUAGGCGGCGCUCUGAAUCCCCUCUCCUCACGCACCAGGAAACAAAGAGGUGUGGUCUCUUCUCCAUAACCAAGUGUGGUAAUGGAAAGGGUGGUGUUCUCAGCCUCCGACUCUUCGUCUUCAUUUCCAUCAGAAUCUUCGUUCUCUUCAUUGUUUUCUUCUUCAUUUGAAGUCUCCUGGGAUUCUGGAACCUGGGGAGGGACACAGUAAAUAUUUAGGAGGGAAAAUGAUGAGGACUUGAAACAUCAAGUUGGAAUAUAGGCGAUGACAUUCACGGAUGAAUAAAAUAAUGGCUCCUAUGAUUCGGACUUGGCAGUGCCACCCACUGAAAGAGAGAAAACACAGUAUGAGGAAUAGAACAGGAGUUGAGAGGACGGCAAAUUGCAUUUGACAUGACUGUGGAACAUCCAAGUAGAGAAGCCCAGCUGGAGUUGGAAACAGAAAUCUGAAAUUUGGAGAAGAGGUUAUCUGCAUGUGGGUGGUCGUUGAAACCAUGAGACAAUUAGAUUCCUAAAAGAGUAUAACGUGUGAAAAAUGUAAUUCACCAAAUAUCUAAUGACUCAACACUCUCUGAGGAAACAUCAAUAUAUAAUACAUGGUCAGAUAAGAGAAAUCCAUAAAGAGAGAGAGGGAAAAAAGUCAAAGAUUCUGUUUGGAGUAUCAUUAUAGUCUCAAAAGGAAAACAACUGAAAACACUCUAAGUAAAUCUGACUCAAAUGCCACCUAAACCUGAAUUUGAAGGUCAUGGGACAAAGGCGGCAAGCUUUAACAAAUCUCCGCUUCCCACCACAGUCUGUCAAUCUGCCAGCCAGCUGUACCAUCAUCACCUGGGAAGCUUUUUAGAGAUAAACGUUCCAAGCCCCUUGCCUGUGUAUUUUGAUCUAGGGGGUCUCACGUGAGGCUCAGGACUCAGUAGUUUUAGAAGCUUCUUCAAUCCAACAUGCCGCCAGCUUUGGAAACUUCUUCCUAACACCUUCAGCCCUCACCACCUCAAGGCCCACCUGAAGGGAUCUCCUGUCUCUCUGCAGUCCUUGCUGGAGCCCACCUUGCCUACAGCUUCUAACACAGGCACCCCGCCAAGUUGCCAGCAAGCCUCAAUGCUCCAGUGUUAGUGGCAUGAAGUCUGAGUCCCCAGAGGCAGCAGGAUGUUUAGGCUGCUUGCUUUGCUGCUGCAUGAGACCUGCGGUUUCCCAUCAUCCUACAUGAGGGCCAGCGAAUCCUCAGUUCUUCUCACCUGAACUCAUCAAGCUCCACAUGUUGGGGUCUGUCUUUUGCAGCCCCUAUUUCUUUUAUAUCAAGUUCUAAUUAGUAUUUUUCGGUUGCAAGUAAGUGAACCAAAUCUAGCUAGCUUAAGAAAACGAGAUAUUUAUUAGAAGGCUAUUAGGAUAAUGGAUAAAACUCAAAGACAGAAAUGCAACUGGG